rnacentral:rRNA from 1 species
UACAGAGGGUGCAAGCGUUGUUCGGAAUUACUGGGCGUAAAGGGUUCGUAGGUGGCCAACUAAGUCAUACGUGAAAUCCCUCAGCUUAACUGGGGAACUGCGUCUGAUACUGGUUGGCUUGAGUGCAGGAGAGGAACGCGGAAUUCCAGGUGUAGCGGUGAAAUGCGUAGAUAUCUGGAGGAACACCGGUGGCGAAGGCGGCGUUCUGGACUGCAACUGACACUGAGGAACGAAAGCCAGGGGAGCAAACGGG